rnacentral:rRNA from 1 species
CGGUCCUAAGGUAGCGAAAUUCCUUGUCGGGUAAGUUCCGACCUGCACGAAUGGCAUAAUGAUGGCAGCGCUGUCUCCAGCAGAGACUCAGUGAAAUCGAAAUCGCAGUGAAGAUGCUGUGUACCCGCGGCUAGACGGAAAGACCCCGUGAACCUUUACUACAGCUUUACAUUGAACUUUGACCUAACUUGUGUAGGAUAGGUGGGAGGCUUUGAAGUAGUGACGCCAGUUACUAUGGAGCCAACCUUGAAAUACCACCCUGGUUAUGUUGGGGUUCUAACUUCGAAUUAACAAAUUCAAGGACAAUGUAUGGUGGGUAGUUUGACUGGGGCGGUCUCCUCCUAAAGAGUAACGGAGGAGUACGAAGGUGCGCUCAGAACGGUCGGAAAUCGUUCAAAGAGUAUAAAGGCAAAAGCGCGCUUAACUGCGAGACCCACAAGUCGAGCAGGUACGAAAGUAGGUCUUAGUGAUCCGGUGGUUCUGUAUGGAAGGGCCAUCGCUCAACGGAUAAAAGGUACUCUGGGGAUAACAGGCUGAUACCGCCCAAGAGUUCAUAUCGACGGCGGUGUUUGGCACCUCGAUGUCGGCUCAUCUCAUCCUGGGGCUGAAGCAGGUCCCAAGGGUAUGGCUGUUCGCCAUUUAAAGAGGUACGCGAGCUGGGUUUAGAACGUCGUGAGACAGUUCGGUCCCUAUCUACCGUGGGCGUUGGAAAUUUGAGAGGAUCUGCUCCUAGUACGAGAGGACCAGAGUGGACGAACCUCUGGUGUUCCGGUUGUCACGCCAGUGGCAUUGCCGGGUAGCUAUGUUCGGAUGGGAUAACCGCUGAAAGCAUCUAAGCGGGAAGCCCACCUCAAGAUAAGAUUUCCCUAAAGAGCCGUUGUAGACUACGACGUUGAUAGGUUGGGUGUGGAAGCAUGGCGACAUGUGUAGCUAACCAAUACUAAUUGCUCGUUUGGCUUGACCAU